UAUAAAUAAGUAAGGUACAAAAAGAAUUUUGAAUUCUUUAAAUUUAGUUCAAUUCUAAAAUUUAUAA
rnacentral:tRNA from 1 species